UACAAAGUUAAUUUCAGAGCCGACCGAUGCAUGCAAGGACCAGUCGAGCACGUACGAAAGUGACAAUGGAGGACGCUGGUGGUAGUACUGCACGAAGGCAGCCUUCACCCUCCGUCAACGCCUCAAGAGCGCCGUCCGGCCACUGGCCGCCGGCGGAUCAGGGGCCGGUGAGCCCUACCGGGAGGCUCAUGGACGGCUUCUACAUCGUCGUCAGCAUGGGGCUUGGGGUGCCCCUAAACUUCCCCGUCCUCCGCGCCGGCAUCGAGACCCAGCUCGCGCGACACCCGCGGUUCCACAGCAUCCAGGUGACCAAAGAUGGCAAGCCACCACGGUGGGUGCACGCGUCGGCGUUGAACUUGGAUGACCACAUCACCACCCCACUGCUGGACGGCGCCGCCGUGGCGUCCAACCCGGAUAAGGCCGUGGAGGACUACGUGGCCUCGCUGUCCACGGCGCCCAUGGACCGCUCCCGGCCGCUCUGGGAGCUCCACUUCCUCAACUACCCGACCACCGAGGCGGCGUCCACCGUGGUGAUCCGUGUGCAUCACUCCCUCGGCGACGGCAUGUCGCUGCUCACCCUCCUCAUGGCGUCCACGCGCAGCGCUGCCGACCCGUCGAGGCUCCCGGCCAUGCCGGCGCAGCCCGCUCGCUCCGGAUCCAUCUACGCGCGACCGCGGCCCCCGUGGUCCGCAGGCACUCUGGCGUUCGUCACGUGGGCUUGGUCGUACGUCGUGCUCGCGUGGCACACCGUGGUGGACGUGGCGCUCUUCGUCGCCACAAUCAUGUUCGUCAGGGACCCACAGACACUGUUCAAGCCUGCCGACGGCGGGGGCGGCGAGCUCCCCCGCCGCAAGCGCUUCGUGCACCGGAGCCUUAGCCUCGACGACGUCAAGUUCCUGAAACAUGCCAUGAACUGCACUGUGAACGAUGUGAUAGUUGGAGUGACUUCCGCUGCUCUGUCGCGAUACUAUUUCCGAAAAUCUGGUGACACUAAUACCAAAAUUAUAUGUUUGCGAUCGAUCCUCCUUGUGAACAUGAGGCCAACCAGUGGCCUACAGGAAUAUGUCAAUAUGAUGGAGUCCGGUAAGAGUAACGAUAUGACACGGAGAAAUCAACUUGGCUACAUAAUCCUACCAUUUCAGAUUGCUGUGCACAAAGAUCCACUUGAAUAUAUUCGCAAGGCCAAAAAGAUUGUUGAUAGGAAGAAAAGCUCACUGGAAGUGAUGUUCACGCAUAUGCUUGCCGAAGUUAUAAUCAAAACUCUUGGUGUGAAGGCAGCAGGUGUUAUUUUCCACCGUAUGAUAUCACACACGACCAUAUCAUUUUCGAACAUGAUUGGGCCAGCAGAGCAGGUAGAGUUCUAUGGGCACCCAGUUGUCUCCAUUGCGCCUAGCGUCUACGGUCCGCCAGAAGCUCUGACGGUGCACUACCAGAGUUAUAGUAACACCAUCAAGGUAAUUCUAGCUGUUGAUGAGGCACACUUUCCAGAUCAUGGUCAACUUUUGGAUGACUUCACCGAGUCCCUUAGGAUCAUCAAGGAUGAGGCUUCAAGAUUGUAAUGACAAUCGAGGAUGAGAAUUUUGCUGGUGUCAACAACAUGUUUGUAAGGCGAACAUGAAGAACAGAUGACAAUUUUUGCUUCGAUUGAGCCAGGCGACACCUUGUCCAGGUCGGCUUAUGGACACUCAUCUGCUGGGAUUAGAGAAAAUAUGGCUGUUGGAGAGUUUGUUCCUCUAAUGAUGAUUAGUAGGGAACAAAAUAGGGUAGCACAUCAGUUGGCAUUUUAUAGCCGUACCGAAGCUUGUACUUGUUGUCUCGAGAUUGUAAUCCUAUUAUUACGGAAGAAAGCUCUCUUUCACCCUGAAAAAAAGGAGGAAAGGAAGAACAAACAAAAGCGGCACCAAUAGCUGAUAAAAAAAUAUAUGAAAUGCUCUGAACUAUGCUACUGAACAUGAUCA